rnacentral:lncRNA from 1 species
UUCUCUUAUUUGUUUACAACUCAAUCAUAGUUACCUGUUACUUUACUUAACGUUAUUCAGUUAUAUUUAGUUAACACAUCACUAAUUGUUAUUGAAAAUAUAUGGGAAGUUGAUUACGGAGAAUUUAGUGAGUCUAACAAAAAUAAUUGGUAGGUUAAUUCUUGAGAAUUCGACUCUGGGCUAAAUACUCGAAUUAUAUUUACGACAACCGUUUUGUACUUUUUAUAAGGCAUGGCUAGACGUGAACACAAAUAAAACUCAAUCUACUUUCUAUUACAGAUUAGUUUGAGUACAUAAGUAAAAGAGCUAAAACAUAAAAGGAGAAGAAAUGCACAUCGAGUGUGCAUGACCAUUAAGGAGAGAUGAUUCCACAGCACUUGGCACAGCAUGUAACGUAGUCUACUGGUUGAUUUCCAUCACAGAUUGGGCAAGUGCACCAAAAAAUUAUGUCGAAACAAAAAGGCAGCAUCCGCAGUAUAGCAGAAAAUUGCCAUGAAUACUACUAACAAAAACAAAGUUACCAAAAGACUAGUGCUUUUCAUUGCCAUCUCUCUCUCUCUCUUUAUGGUUCUUA